rnacentral:rRNA from 1 species
CUACGGGCGGCUGCAGUUAGGAAUAAUCUACAAUGCGCGAAAGCGUGAUAGUUUGAGCCAGAGUGCUUUUCAUUUGAAAAGCUUUUGUGAAAUGUAAAAAGUUUCACGAAUAAGGACUGGGUAAGACUAGUGCCAGCCGCCGCGGUAAUACUAGCGGUCCAAGUCGCAGCCACAUUUAUUGGGUCUAAAACAUCCGUAGCUUGCUUAUUAAGUUUCUUGUGAAAUUUUGUAUCUUAAGUACAGAGCGUGUGAGAAGUACUGAUAAGCUAGAGACUGGAAGACGUAAGAAGUAUGUUCGAAGUAGCGGUAAAAUAUUUUAAUCUCGGACAGACUUACAAUAGCGAAGGCAUCUUACGAGGACAGUUCUGACAGUAAGGGAUGAAGGCUAGGGGCGCAAAACGGAUUAGAUACCCUGGUAGUC